rnacentral:rRNA from 1 species
AACGAACGCUGGCGGCAUGCCUAACACAUGCCAGUCGAACGAGACCUCCGGGUGUGGUGGCGCUUGGGUGUGUAACGCGUGGGAACCUGCCCUUAGGCUCGGAAUAAUACUCUUUAAGGGGUGCUAAUACAGGGAAAUGUACUCGGAUAAAGCAUUGAUCGUGCUUGUGUGAGCGCGAGUUGGUUUAGCCUGUGGGUAGUGUAAAAGCCUACGACGGGGACGCUACAUAGCUGGGCUGAGAGACUGGUCAGCGACACUGGGAGUGGGACACGGUCCAGAAUCCUAGAGGAUGCAGCAGUGGCGAAUAUUGGACAAUGGGCGAAAGGCUGAUCCAGCAAUGCCGCGUGAGUGAUGAAGGCCUUAGGGUUGUAAAGCUCUUUUACCCGGGAUGAUAAUGACAGUACCGGGAGAAUAAGCUCCGGCUAACUCCGUG